AUUCUUCCUCUGUGGAUUCAGAAUGAUCUGUGGAAUACAGUUCUUCAGCCUCUUCAAAUGGCAUGUCCUCCUUUGAUAUAUCAGAAGCAGAUUCUCCCUAUUCUUUCAGAAAUGAGGGUCUGGGGCGUUUACGGGAUCUAUGUUCAUCCGUUUACUGGCUCACUGCCAUUUGGAUCCAUUUCAACAUUUCUGGGGCCGGUUCUUUAGAAAUAACUCAAAAACAGAAAAUAGAGUCAGCGCUAGUUGUAUCAAAAGAAAGAAAAAGGCAGCAAUCCCAAAUAAGGACUCCCUCACGUGUCCUUGAAAUUAAUGGAAAAGGC